CGGCGCUCGGAGCGCCGUGCGGAGAUCGGAUCGGGGCUGCUCCCGGCGUUGCGCGGCGUCCGACGGGCUCAGUGAGAAGAACAUGAACUCACAGCCACCGAGGCCUGACGGGUUCCUGCAGUGAGAGCUCAGCGCUUGUCUGCAGAGAGCUGUAUUCUGGAGAUAUUACAAGGUGCUGCCCGUGCCACCAGAGCUGCCUAUGAGCUGACAGAGGAUCGCAGCCUCCUGACGUGGGUCCUGCCAAGCUUGGAGAAAAGGAGUCAAGAGAGAAAAUAAGAAUCAAUCCCAGGAUCUAAUGGAGAUCUGGCCAAGCUGAGUGGGUUGUUCAGCACCCUCAGCUCUGUGCUGCAAUACUUCAGGCCCUGGCUCAGAAGGACCAAAACAAAGAAUUGCUCAAAAAUAUUAAAGACAAGAACAAACCCCAAGCCUCAUCUCGUGUGUAUCGUCACACUCGGAAAAAGAACGGGAUGGGAGAAGAUGAUGCUGCUGCAGACGUGGAAGUGCCUGAGCUGGAGAAAUGCAGAGAACAUCUGAAUUCCAUCCUUGCCCACUGGGACCCUGUUUGUCCACACAGGGAGGGGAGACCCUCAGCGCCGGUGGAAUGGUGGAAGAGGAUGCGGACAAGACAGCUGUGUCUGUAUUCCUGACUUCCGUUUACCUUGGAGACAUGUGCCUUGGAACACAGGAGCUGGAUGUGUUACUUACCCGUGUCAGAUUGGUCUGCACUAGUGCAGAUUAUGAGUUACAGGGUGACUCAGACACUCAGAAACAAGGGGAAGAAGCUGUUAUGUCUCUUUGCAAGAAAUUUGGCUCCAUCAGGGCAUUAAUUCAGGGGACUAACACUUCACCUUUAACAUUCUUCUCUGCUCCAUCAGCAUCACUGUGAGAGCCUCCUGAGCUGUUCUCAUAUAGACCUACCUUGUUUGGUCAGAAAAACCAGUAUUUUAUUACUGGGUGCAAACUCGGGGAAGAUUUGAUUCAACAUCUCUCAGUGGGACAUUAAAGCUCCAAUUUCCCUUUUCUUGAACAGUUUGAGAGACAAUACGUAAUGUAAUUACAAUUGUGUAAUUUUUAUUACAGGCAUUUUUAUCUUUUCGAAGAACCAAAAAGACUGUUUGUGCAUGUGUCUCAGCAGCAGGCCCAGCACAGGCAGGCAGGUUUGGAAUUUUCUUUGCUGUGCUGCAGGUGUAUUCAAGACAUGGUUCCUCUUUGUUUGACAGAAGGAAGACAAAAAAAAAUAAUUCUUAGCAAAAGAGGAUGUUUUCUUUCCUGUCUAUCAAGCAGCCAAACACCACCAGCUAGCUAUCCAUAUUUUAAAAUCAGCUGGAGAACUUGCAUCCCAGGGACCUGGGGAGUGUCUGAAGAGAGCUCUGGCCAGCUCUGUUAGCUGUUAAGCAACCUGGAACAGCAGAGAGGAGGCUGGAAGAGUUCCAGUGCCCCAGUACCCAGAGACCCACCUGGUCAGGGCAGGUCACUCUUAGGCAGUGCUGCGACUGACCUGGGCCCAGGCAAAAUCACAGAACUGGAGCUGAGAUAAGACACAACUGAAAAAGUCUUUCAAAGGACAGGGAAGCUAAUUCCCGACUCUGGGUUUGGACAAAGACAAGUGCAGUGACAAUGUCUGAUAUAAUUUUCUGAGGGAGGUGUGAUUGGAAGGAUGAAGGCAGCUGCACAUCUGUACUUUACUGUGAGGGUGCUCGUACCCCACAUCCAAAUACUGAAUGGAGUUCUUCAUGGUGAGAGAUCUGUCUGGAGCCAGCAGGGAGCCCCGGGGUCCUGGAUUGAGUCUCUCCAAGAGCAAGAAACAGGGAUGAGGGAUGAGACAUGCAGAUCUUCCAACUCUCUGGGCAUCCAGCUUGGGUUUCUCUCCAACAUGACACCGUCUGGUAGGAAGGUGAUAGCCAGAAGAAUUGUGUUGUGCAUGGCUAUCAGGAACGCACAGCCUCCAGUGAAGUGCAUGGGACACCUGCAAGGAGCUGGCCCUGUCCUCCUUCUGCUGUGUGAAGUUCCAGCCUCAGCCAGGAACCAUUUCUGGCCACAAACCCUUAUUUUUCUGUGUCAUUUUGGAUGUUAAUACACAUCAUUGAAGCAAAUGUUAAUGCUCUGCAUCCCAGCAGCGUGAUCAUCAGCUGCCUUGGCAGGCAGAUGGGUUUGAAAUCAGUGGUCCCAUAUCAAGGAUUCCAUCCAGGACCUCUCUGUGUCUCAGGAUUCCACUGUGGCCUAAGUAGAGAGAGCUGUUGUGUGGCCUUUGGAAGGCACCAUGGCAGUGCCUGGUUUGUGGGCAGAUGUGCAGGACGUGGGUAAGCUGGGAGAGCACAGGAGGUCCUGCAUGUCCCUGGGCUUGACAGAGAUGGAUGAGCAGAGAAACAAUGAAGGUAAAAGUUCUCCAGCCUUGACCAGGAUGUGAACGUGUGUUUGUUGGGUGAGUGUAUCGAGAUUAUUGUAAGAAAAGAGACGUGGGGUUUCCACAGAGACACUGGAUGAUUGUCAUGCCAAGGGCAGACACAGCAGAGAGGAUGACAGGGCAGGGGGUGCAAGUUUACACCAGUGGCUCCUGUCAAGCACUUCACUGGGUUUCGGUGCUGGAAUUGGGAGAAGUGGAAUUGAAGUGGAGCUUAAAAAACAGACAGAACUCAAGCAAAAAGGACAAGUUUUGUGUGCAACUGGGUUUAAUAGUUUCUUCAGUCCUAAAAUUGUUUUCUCACGGUAUGUUUCAAACCUAGAAAAAUGAUAACAUAGGAUGGUUUCAAAGCCUAAACAAAUCUCAUUGAAUGCUGUUUUUCAUUAAUGAUUUCUGGGCACUCCAGAAAACAUUUCUAGACUUGCCUUGUUCACAAUAGCUCCUUUGAUGGCCAGAAUUGAAUAUGCGAGGGAUAAAUAUGUGUAUUUUUAAGCCAAGUAUUUUGCUCAGUAACAUGAUGAAAAAGUGCAAAAAGAUUUAAAAAUGAAUACUUUGUUUAAGUCUUGCAAGAACUCCAAGAUUUUCAAGUACACAGACUUCUCCUUCCAGUUUUUUAGGAACAGUAAAUUUUUGGUAGCAUCCCUCUGUUACCCUGCAAUUUCACAUCCAUUUCCAUGUCUGUUGUGUUGUUAGUCUGCCUCCUGCUUUGUGGUUUAUUUGGGGGGUAAACUGUCUUUUUUUAUUGUUUUUGUUGCCUUUUGUGAGCGUGCCAGAGGCCCUAGGGUGCCAAUAAAUGAGAAUAUUAGUGCUCCCUUUGACUGCUGUUUCCCUCUGCUUGUUUGUGACCUAAUCCUGAAUCUCCGCCCAGCCUGCUGAGCUGAAUUUUCUGAUCAGGUUAUUUUUCACACCAGUACCUACUUACUUCAUCUCUGGUUAUACUUUGCUGGCGUUGAUCCGGAGCAGAACACACACAGCAAAAUAAGGAAAAGAAACGCCACCAACGCAGCAAGGCCGACCCAAAAGGCAAUGACGAUGGAGUCUGUGGGCACAGCAGGACAGAGCACUCCAAGUGCCAAUUUGUUAAAGGUCUUGGGAGCCUCCAGCAGGGAUGAGGGAAGGGCUGGGAAAAGCCUCCGGAGAGUGUUCUGGUGACUGGACCUGUGCAGAUGUUGGAACGUGGCUCCUUUUACACAACCACAGUGCAGGAAGCCUGAGUGGUUAUUGCCUAAUCCUGCAGGAGCUUUGGGGAGAGGCUCUCAGGAGGGGAAUUCCAGCCUUGAGAGCAGUUUAUACCAAGAGAAAUAGCAAGGGGAGUUUGUUGCCAAGUGCCUGUGCCCCUUCCUGCCAGAGCUCACCCUGGGUCAGGGGUGGCUCCGUGUGGUGGAAAAGUCUCUCCUCCAACCCGAGCUUCCAAAGAAAGGCUCAGCAGUCUCUGUUGUCCGGUCUCAAGGCAGUUUAUUGCAAGUUAUCUAAAAGAUUUUCUCCUUGAGCUGCUGUGGUUUGCUCACAGCUCAGGCAGAGGCACACACACACCCUGACAUCCUCUCUGACUCCCGACUGCUUCUUCUCUCCCCGCCCAGGGCUGCUGCUGCUCUUUUAUAUGGUACAUUACGUGUUACAUGUUUACAGUUUUUCCCCAAUGCCCAUUACCUAUAUUAAAUGGUGCCUUUCUACUCUAAACCAAUCUGUGAGUGCCAACAUCACCAAGAAGAUGGAGGUAAGGAAGAAGAAAGAGGGAGGACAGGACAGGCCCAAAUCCCUCCAUCUUAAAACCUCUGACCCCCAUGUACAAAACCAAAACCCCCCUGUACAGCACUCACAAAUUCUUCCCUCUACUUUGUGACUACUUCUACUAUAAUAUCUAAACUUUUGUGACUUCUUGUUCUUCCUGCAAGGUUGGUAAAUCAUUCCAUGGCUCAAACCCAAAAUCACAGCUGUUUCCAGCUGCCUGCCAGGGUCUCAAAUGCUUCUGACCAGGGCCUGGAACCUCCAGAAAUGUCUGAGGGACAUUUUGAGUUCUGACACCUCCCAGCACAUCAGUGCAGUGGAAGAGAAUGUGCCCUUGCCCUGUUCAGCUGCAGUGCCCCUGCAGCCACCAUGGAAGAGGGCAAGAUGUUGCCUGCUUUGUCAGGAGCAGAUGAUUUAUUUCAGGAACAAGAGGGCUGCAGUGCCAAAGUGUGUCCACAGCUGGUUCAGUGGGAGUGUGAGGUGCUGGGGGAGCAAAGGGAGCUGCUCUUUCAUGGAGGCUUCAGUGCUGUGCCAAUUUUAUUGCCUGAGCCUUGGGCUCACUGAGGGAGGGGACGGAUCCGCUCCCGCUCCCACAGCACCCAAAGGUGCCACUGGUUCCAAAACGCUCCUUCCUGGGGUCACUGUGGUGCUGCUGGGGCCUUGGGAAGUUUGGGUGCUUGCACUCACACCUGGGGGUUCACUUCAGAUGAGGUGGAAAAAGAAGGGUCACUGACUCCAGAGACAAAUACUGACCAAGACAAAAUAAAUCUGAAAGUACGGAAAACAUUGUGUUCUUUGAAACAGGUCCGAUAUGUUUGACUGAGUGCUUCUUUGUGAAAAAUUCAGUAUGUGUUGGCAUCAAAGCCACAAAGAGAUUAAGGGAAUGAGCCCAGCUCCUUUUAAACCCAUAACUAGAGCUGGCCCAGCUGUUCUCUUAUCAGAAACAGGAGUUUGGGCUGGGCUACUGAAAAAUAUCAGUGGGGAGGGGUAGGUAGCUUAUUUUAUUCUUCCUUUGACCAGGGACAUUUUGAAAAGCCCAAGGUUUUGAAGUGUUCCACACCAUUGGGACAGAAAUUAAGUCUGGAUUUAUAGAAUUUCCUGUCAGAGCUAUUUUGGCUUUAUGUUUUAAAAACAGCUAUAAUAGAUUUCAUGGAAUUCCCUGAAGCCAAAUAAAUUGGCUCCAGGGCUCAGGUGGAGCUUGAACCAAAAUUUCCUGGGUUUAAAUUCUGCCAUUAGUUGGU
ensembl:lncRNA